rnacentral:tRNA from 5 species
GGCGCCUUCGUCUAACGGUUCAGGACACUAGGUUCUCAUCCUAGCAAUAGGAGUUCGAUUCUCCUAGGCGUCA